rnacentral:rRNA from 1 species
AGCAGUAGCCGCGGUAAUACGUAGGUCCCGAGCGUUGUCCGGAUUUAUUGGGCGUAAAGCGAGCGUAGGCGGUUAGAUAAGUCUGAAGUUAAAGGCUGUGGCUUAACCAUAGUACGCUUUGGAAACUGUUUAACUUGAGUGCAAGAGGGGAGAGUGGAAUUCCAUGUGUAGCGGUGAAAUGCGUAGAUAUAUGGAGGAACACCGGUGGCGAAAGCGGCUCUCUGGCUUGUAAUUGACGCUGAGGCUCGAGAGCGUGGGGAGCAAACAGGAUUAGAUACCCGCGUAGUCCCUGUCUCUUAUACA